AUGUACUUUACCCCAUUUGCACCUGCUAUCAUCCCAUACACCGGCUUCGCCACCAAGGCCUUGCAGAUUUACUCCUUCGAGAUCUCUGACCUAAAUGACUGCUUGAAGUGGCCACUCUAUGUGUAUGGCGUGGUUGCUGCUCGAGACGUUGUGGAUGGUAACCGCAACCUCCUCUUCUCUUGCUCCCGGGCUAACGGCCAAGUAGUCACAGAAAAGGAUCCUUUUUUGCACUUGACUGGGCCUUCUCGUGCUAUUCUGGCUGAGUAUCCUGUCGACUUUGAAGUUGAACUAAGGAUAAAAGAUGGAACAGAGUGCCAAGAUAAAGCCUUGAGGAGUUCUGCUAACCACCACAGUUUCGCUAGUGCUGACAGUGCUGUUUUCUUUAGCUGCCUGUGUUCAGCAGAGUUAAGCCUCCAGACUGUUUAUAGUGCAGUCCAGGCCACUAUCUUGUCCAUUCGUCUUGUUGGAGGGGAGUCAUCUUUUGAAUAUGGAGGUCAAGUUUCAUGUUCAUCAUAUACUGAAGGUGUCAAUGCUGAUGCAUGUCGGGAAGUUGUGUUGAUUGAUUGUGAUGAAAAAUUUCUUGAAGAUGGACUGGAUGGCUAUAUCUCUCUUUCAAGGAAUGUGGUCACCGUGGAAUUGGAAGGAUCACUGAAGAUUACCAUAAAAGAAUAUACAAAGUCUCGUCUUGUCGCUAACGAGGCCCAGCUUGAUAUCCCUGCUCAGCAUUGCCAAGUAAGCAAGAAAGAAUGUGUUCUUGGCGGACAUAAUGUGGUUGUUCUUAUUGCUUGGUCCCUGCUUGUGAGGGACAAGCUCGAUAACUUGAUGAUGGGGUGA
rnacentral:rRNA from 1 species